UGCAGUCGAACGCACUCUCGUUAGAUUGAAGAAGCUUGCUUCUGAUUGAUAACAUUUGAGUGAGUGGCGGACGGGUGAGUAACACGUGGGUAACCUGCCCUAAAGUGGGGGAUAACAUUUGGAAACAGAUGCUAAUACCGCAUAAAACCUAGCACCGCAUGGUGCAAGGUUGAAAGAUGGUUUCGGCUAUCACUUUAGGAUGGACCCGCGGUGCAUUAGUUAGUUGGUGAGGUAAAGGCUCACCAAGACCGUGAUGCAUAGCCGACCUGAGAGGGUAAUCGGCCACACUGGGACUGAGACACGGCCCAGACUCCUACGGGAGGCAGCAGUAGGGAAUCUUCCACAAUGGACGAAAGUCUGAUGGAGCAACGCCGCGUGAGUGAAGAAGGUUUUCGGAUCGUAAAACUCUGUUGUUGGAGAAGAACGUAUUUGAUAGUAACUGAUCAGGUAGUGACGGUAUCCAACCAGAAAGCCACGGCUAACUACGUGCCAGCAGCCGCGGUAAUACGUAGGUGGCAAGCGUUGUCCGGAUUUAUUGGGCGUAAAGCGAGCGCAGGCGGUUUCUUAAGUCUGAUGUGAAAGCCUUCGGCUCAACCGAAGAAGUGCAUCGGAAACUGGGAAACUUGAGUGCAGAAGAGGACAGUGGAACUCCAUGUGUAGCGGUGAAAUGCGUAGAUAUAUGGA
rnacentral:rRNA from 2 species